AAGGUUUCAUGCAUGCAUGAUUUUUUAAAAUAAGUAAGCAGUGAAAUUUUAAAAUUUUCAGAUUAAAUCAAAUUUAAUCUAAGUAUACACAAGAUCAAAUCUUCAAACCAUAAAUAAGAUCAUCAUACAAGAGAAAAGAUUCAGAUAUAGAAAUUAAAUAAAAAAAUAAAUAUAAAAAAUAUCUGAACAUGGAUCAAUCUUUAAUACGA
rnacentral:lncRNA from 1 species